AAGACCCCUUGAAGACGACGAGGUUGAUAGGCCUGAGGUGGAAGUGCAGCAAUGUAUGGAGCUGACAGGUACUAAUCGGUCGAGGGCUUAUCCA
rnacentral:rRNA from 1 species